rnacentral:rRNA from 3 species
UCCAACGUUAAUCGGGGCAGGGUGAGUCGACCCCUAAGGCGAGGCCGAAAGGCGUAGUCGAUGGGAAACGGGUUAAUAUUCCCGUACUUGGUGUUACUGCGAAGGGGGGACGGAGAAGGCUAUGUUGGCCGGGCGACGGUUGUCCCGGUUUAAGCGUGUAGGUGUGUGUUCCAGGUAAAUCCGGUUCACUUUAACACUGAGGCGUGACGACGAGGCACUACGGUGCUGAAGCAACAAAUGCCCUGCUUCCAGGAAAAGCCUCUAAGCAUCAGGUAACAUCAAAUCGUACCCCAAACCGACACAGGUGGUCAGGUAGAGAAUACCAAGGCGCUUGAGAGAACUCGGGUGAAGGAACUAGGCAAAAUGGUGCCGUAACUUCGGGAGAAGGCACGCUGACACGUAGGUGAAGUGAUUUACUCAUGGAGCUGAAGUCAGUCGAAGAUACCAGCUGGCUGCAACUGUUUAUUAAAAACACAGCACUGUGCAAACACGAAAGUGGACGUAUACGGUGUGACGCCUGCCCGGUGCCGGAAGGUUAAUUGAUGGGGUCAGCGCAAGCGAAGCUCCUGAUCGAAGCCCCGGUAAACGGCGGCCGUAACUAUAACGGUCCUAAGGUAGCGAAAUUCCUUGUCGGGUAAGUUCCGACCUGCACGAAUGGCGUAAUGAUGGCCAGGCUGUCUCCACCCGAGACUCAGUGAAAUUGAACUCGCUGUGAAGAUGCAGUGUACCCGCGGCAAGACGGAAAGACCCCGUGAACCUUUACUAUAGCUUGACACUGAACAUUGAGCCUUGAUGUGUAGGAUAGGUGGGAGGCUUUGAAGUGUGGACGCCAGUCUGCAUGGAGCCGACCUUGAAAUACCACCCUUUAAUGUUUGAUGUUCUAACGUGGACCCGUUACCCGGGUUGCGGACAGUGUCUGGUGGGUAGUUUGACUGGGGCGGUCUCCUCCUAAAGAGUAACGGAGGAGCACGAAGGUUGGCUAAUCCUGGUCGGACAUCAGGAGGUUAGUGCAAUGGCAUAAGCCAGCUUGACUGCGAGCGUGACGGCGCGAGCAGGUGCGAAAGCAGGUCAUAGUGAUCCGGUGGUUCUGAAUGGAAGGGCCAUCGCUCAACGGAUAAAAGGUACUCCGGGGAUAACAGGCUGAUACCGCCCAAGAGUUCAUAUCGACGGCGGUGUUUGGCACCUCGAUGUCGGCUCAUCACAUCCUGGGGCUGAAGUAGGUCCCAAGGGUAUGGCUGUUCGCCAUUUAAAGUGGUACGCGAGCUGGGUUUAGAACGUCGUGAGACAGUUCGGUCCCUAUCUGCCGUGGGCGCUGGAGAACUGAGGGGGGCUGCUCCUAGUACGAGAGGACCGGAGUGGACGCAUCACUGGUGUUCGGGUUGUCAUGCCAAUGGCACUGCCCGGUAGCUAAAUGCGGAAGAGAUAAGUGCUGAAAGCAUCUAAGCACGAAACUUGCCCCGA